rnacentral:rRNA from 1 species
AUACAGAGGGUGCAAGCGUUAAUCGGAUUUACUGGGCGUAAAGCGCGCGUAGGCGGCUAAUUAAGUCAAAUGUGAAAUCCCCGAGCUUAACUUGGGAAUUGCAUUCGAUACUGGUUAGCUAGAGUGUGGGAGAGGAUGGUAGAAUUCCAGGUGUAGCGGUGAAAUGCGUAGAGAUCUGGAGGAAUACCGAUGGCGAAGGCAGCCAUCUGGCCUAACACUGACGCUGAGGUGCGAAAGCAUGGGGAGCAAACAGGAUUAGAUACCCCAGUAGUCC